UGGCUAUACCCAAAUUUUCUGUAGAACUGAUGCAAUAUGGAUUCAAUCAUAGUAGCCUCUGCAGGAGAAAUUUUUUUUUUCUCCUUAGCCCAGACAGCUCCAGGUUUAAGAACGUUCAUUGGGAGGGAAGGCUAAAGGGGUUAAGGAAAUAAGACGCAAUAGAGGUGACCUAUGAGAACUUUCAUUAUUAUAUGGAGCCUUGAUGAGUGAAAUGAGAGGGACUGCUCUCCAUCAUGAAAGGCUGAAAUGUCGAGGGAGCAAUCGCAAAUUAAUCUAUUAAGAAUAAGUAGGAGGUUGAACAGUGUGACUCAAAAGGAUGGAAAUAUAUGGAAUAAACUGCAGCAUAAAGUCAUGAUGAUUUUUAAAUGCAUCCUUAAAGACACCCGCCUACGAUUUUUCCAAUGAAGCAGGGAUUUUUUUCUGUAUAUCUAUAUAUGAGACAAAGUUUAAGCAGACAAAAUGGGCCUCUUUCUAUUCAGCUACUCCCAAGAUUUGUGAUGACCUGGCCUGGAUGAGAAGUUCUCUUCUGAUUUGUGUGGCUUUAACCAGAACAAUGUGCCAGGGAUUUUUCUUUUUUAAAAGACACUCCAAUAAAAUGCUUCACAGGCGGUUUUCUCUGUGGUGAUUUUCCUGUUUUGCUGUGACAUUUUUAACUUGAAUUUAGCGUUUGUAAAAGGUGCUAUUUGACAGCAUUGUGUAACUGAAAGCCUCUUAUUAUUGACAGAUCAUGCACAGUCAAGGCUGGGGAAAUUUCUCCGUGUCAGCCUGGUGAGGGACAGCCCUGCAGCCUGAGGAGACCAGCUUCCAGGAGGAAAAAUGAUGCUCAAGCUGUCACUUGCUGUAUUCAAAUGUAUCAGUAUCUUGUUUCAGGUAAGUAGCCUAAGACCCAGUGGAUUGAACUUAAAUGGCAUUAGAACUUCUCGUUCAGCAGACUACAUCAGACACUUAAAUCUAUUCAGAAAAGCAGAGAAGCUUUAGCAAGUGAUAAAAUGAAGCUUGCGCUCCUGUAGCAAGAAACUUUCCUGAAGUGGGCCUGAUAAAUUAUCUUUUCAUGUGUUGUACCCUUGUGUCAAACCUUGAAUUUUGCACACAGUGUUACAUCAUUUCCAGGAUAGGAAGAUGACUUUUUAAUCCCUUUUUAAUUCUGUAUCUGGAAAAUGGCUUUAUUAACCUCUAGCUACUAAGCAAUAAUAUAUCUGCUGUGCUCUGUGGUCCUGCUUACUUUCUGUUGCUCUCCUGGAAAAGUGUAAUAACCUCUGAAGAAACUCAACGUAUAGACAGACCAACGGAAGACCAGUUUUAACUAUUAAUCUAAUAGUUUUCAGACACCUGUAUUUAAAUAACUGCUUCUGCUCUGCUCCUCAUAAGUUAGUUCGAACACAGCAUGUGAUAUAAAAAAAUGCAGAUACCUUUAUCAAAAUUUCCAUCUACAAGAAUACUCCCCAUCCAGACAGCUGUCUUUCUCCCAGCUCUGAACACCACGGCCGUUCACAUCUGUA
rnacentral:lncRNA from 1 species